AUGCUACUCAAGACAUCGACCUCCUCCUUCCUACUUAAUGGUGCGGCGGGAAAGAAAAUUUGGCUUUGUUGGGGACUUAGACAGGGCGACCCCCUGUCCCCGCUACUCUUCAUCAUCGCCAUAGAUCCGCUUCACAGGCUGCUCCAGCGUGCCACGGAGCUUGGCCAGCUCGACCCGAUCCCGAGAAGA
rnacentral:rRNA from 1 species